AUUGAACGCUGGCGGCAGGCCUAACACAUGCAAGUCGAGCGGAUGAAGGGAGCUUUCUCCUGUAUUCAGCGGCGGACGGGUGAGUAAUGCCUAGGAAUCUGCCUGGUAUUUGGGGAUAACGUCCGUAAACGGGCGCUAAUACCGCAUACGUCCUUAGGGAGAAAGUGGGGGAUCUUCGGACCUCACGCUAUCAGAUGAGCCUAGGUCGGAUUAGCUAGUUGGUGGGGUAAAGGCCUACCAAGGCGACGAUCCGUAACUGGUCUGAGAGGAUGAUCAGUCACACUGGAACUGAGACACGGUCCAGACUCCUACGGGAGGCAGCAGUGGGGAAUAUUGGGCAAUGGGCGAAAGCCUGAUCCAGCCAUGCCGCGUGUGUGAAGAAGGUCUUCGGAUUGUAAAGCACUUUAAGUUGGGAGGAAGGGCAGUAAGUUAAUACCUUGCUGUUUUGACGUUACCAACAGAAUAAGCACCGGCUAACUUCGUG
rnacentral:rRNA from 1 species